CCUACGGGUGGCAGCAGUCGAGAAUCAUUCACAAUGGGGGAAACCCUGAUGCAGCGACGCCGCGUGAGUGAAGAAGUAUUUCGGUAUGUAAAGCUCUAUCAGCAGGGAAGAAAAUGACAGUACCUGACCAAGAAGCCCCGGCUAACUACGUGCCAGCAGCCGCGGUAAUACGGAGGGGGCAACCGUUAUCCGGAUUUACUGGGUGUAAAGGGAGCGUAGGCGGUUAUGUAAGUCUGGAGUGAAAGCCCGGGGCGCAACCCCGGGACUGCUUUGGAAACUGUGUAACUGGAGUACAGGAGGGGCAGGCGGAAUUCCUGGUGUAGCGGUGAAAUGCGUAGAUAUCAGGAAGAACACCGGCGGCGAAGGCGGCCUGCUGGACUGAAACUGACGUUGAGGCUCGAAAGCGUGGGGAGCAAACAGGAUUAGAUACCCUUGUAGUC
rnacentral:rRNA from 1 species